GUGCUUCAUCAAAGAGAUUUCUACAAGAUUGCAGCGUUCCCUAAUGUCAUUGGUGCGCUGGACUGCACACAGAUCCGCAUUAAACUCCCCUCAGAGGCCCACGAGGGAGAUUGUGUCAACAGAAAAUCCUUCCACAGUAUCAAUGUUCAGAUGAUCUGUGAUGCUGCCUGCAUCAUUACCAAUGUGGAGGCAAAGUG